rnacentral:rRNA from 1 species
UACAGAGGUCUCAAGCGUUGUUCGGAUUCAUUGGGCGUAAAGGGUGCGUAGGCGGCGCGGUAAGUCGGGUGUGAAAUCUCGGAGCUUAACUCCUAAACUGCAUUCGAUACUGCCGUGCUUGAGGACUGGAGAGGAGACUGGAAUUUACGGUGUAGCGGUGAAAUGCGUAGAUAUCAGGAGGAAUACCGGGGGUGUAGACGGCUCUCUGGACCGCCACUGACGCUGAGACACGAAAGCGUGGGUAGCAAACAGG